UAGGGAAUCUUCGGCAAUGGGGGGAACCCUGACCGAGCAACGCCGCGUGAGUGAAGAAGGUUUUCGGAUCGUAAAGCUCUGUUGUUAAGGAAGAACGAGUGUGAGAAUGGAAAGUUCAUGCUGUGACGGUACUUAACCAGAAAGGGACGGCUAACUACGUGCCAGCAGCCGCGGUAAUACGUAGGUCCCGAGCGUUGUCCGGAUUUAUUGGGCGUAAAGCGAGCGCAGGCGGUUAGAUAAGUCUGAAGUUAAAGGCAGUGGCUCAACCAUUGUAGGCUUUGGAAACUGUUUAACUUGAGUGCAGAAGGGGAGAGUGGAAUUCCAUGUGUAGCGGUGAAAUGCGUAGAUAUAUGGAGGAACACCGGUGGCGAAGGCGACUCUCUGGUCUGUAACUGACGCUGAGGUUCGAAAGCGUGGGUAGCAAACAGG
rnacentral:rRNA from 1 species